GCGCGUGCGUCGGGACGCGCCUCGCCUCUCCCACUUAUCGCGGCUGAGUGGGGGGGAAGAGCCUGAUGAGGCGAGCCCCGCGCCCGGGGAGAAACAGCACAACCCACAGCUUCCCCCCCGCCCCUGCCACGAAUGGUAUCGCCGAGCGCUGAGGCAGCGGCCACCGCCCCCGGCGUGCGGACGGAGCGGCCGCUGGAGCUCUUCAUGGGAGGAAAUAUGGUGGUGCCUCUGUUGAAGCAGCAGUGGGACAUGGCUUUGGAGAGCAAGAGUGGUGAUCAGUGGUGAUCAGGAGAUCACAGCACACAAGUUAGGAGCAAAGGGGGCCUUGGCAAAGUAAGUAACACAAUCUUUCUUUCAGUUUCCAUAAUCAAAAGUACAUAUUUUGGUCUGAAUUACAAUUCUUACAUAGAAUAUUAGCAAAAAGACAGAGAGAAUACGAAUAAUUAUCUGACCAAAAUUUUAUAAGACUGCCCUAACAUCCUAAUAAUAGAUGUUACAAGACAAUCUGAAAAUCACUUUUACUAUCCUGCCACUGAGUGUCACUCUGAUCCUACCUCUCUGCAGCACAGAAGGAAUUUUUAACAGAACUAUUGAGAAAAAUAGAUUGGUUCUGAUGAGUUCAGCUAGCUACAGAGAUACUGUGCAUUGCAGCAGCAAAUAUUAACAGGUGGGCAGAUACAAUGGGAAAAUUACAGCGACUUACGGAGUCACAGCUCCUCUAAGUGAAUACCUUUGUUAAGAGAUACAGGUUGUUAGUGCGCCCCUGGUAAUCCAUCCUGGAAACAGAUACUGCUUAGCUGACCUCUGAGGAUAUUUUUAACCAUUUAUGGUACUACUCUUUCUGCUUUCCACUAAACUGAAACAUCGAUCUGGUUCAUGCAUCUCACAGGAGUGGAAACUACAGCUGUUUUUUAAAAAGUAAAACUUGUCCUGGCCUGUAAUCCCAAACUGAUAACAGGAAAAGGGUGAGAUCCACAUGCUCCUUUUUUACUUACUCUUCA